UACAGAGGUCUCAAGCGUUGUUCGGAUUCAUUGGGCGUAAAGGGUGCGUAGGCGGCGCGGUAAGUCGGGUGUGAAAUCUUGGAGCUUAACUCCGAAACUGCAUUCGAUACUGCCGUGCUUGAGGACUGGAGAGGAGACUGGAAUUUACGGUGUAGCAGUGAAAUGCGUAGAUAUCGUAAGGAAGACCAGUGGCGAAGGCGGGUCUCUGGACAGUUCCUGACGCUGAGACGCGAAAGCGUGGGGAGCGAACAGG
rnacentral:rRNA from 1 species